CAUUCAUUCUGCUAAUGGUUAAAUCACAUAUGAUGGCAUGCGCAAAGCAAAAUUUCGGAACAUCAGAUAUUUAAGAUAAUACAAUACAUAUUGCAGUGUGAAAGUAACAAACAAGAUACGUCAACUAAAUAUGGUGAACUUCAUAGCCAGAAAAACACCCCAUUACAUAACAGAUUGUCCACAAAUAUUCUAUCUUCUGUAUGCGCAAGUCAAUCUUCAAAAAGUAAAUUAAGAAACAGACUAAACUAGACCCAAAAGGAAAAAUUAAAACUUAAAGCAAACUAUAUUUCAAAUGCUUCCCACCUUGCAUCUACCCCGUGUGUGAAACAAAAAAGAAAGCUGUUCCCCAACAAAGUAGAUAUAAAUUUACAAGACAGGAAACGACCAACCAAGUAAAAAAAACGAAAAAGGAGAGAGGAGGAUAAAAAGCAAACAAAAACCAUAUGAGUAUCUUAAGCAGAAAUCCUAAAUCCCAAAAACCCCUAGGAGUAAAAAUAAAAUCUGUUAGGAGCUAACCACUGUAAACAAAACCCAAUCAUAAGGGGUUGGGUUGGUGCUAGCAUUCUAUCUACUAACUCCGCUCAGCCUAUCUCAAUAUACAGAUCUCACUAAUCACCAAUCAUCUUCACAAAGCAAGAGAAAGCGAGACGGAUCCAAUCAGAGGCGGGACCAAGUUGCUGAGUGUAGCAUUGCAAAAAAACAGUAUAAGCCAUUAAACUCAAUCACCGCCAUUGUUGGAAACAGUAGAGCUUAGCAACCAUUAGCAACACCAUUGGGUACAAUUUUACUCUCAGAUACAACAGGUUUAGCACCCUUUGGGGCAUCUCCAGUUGUUGGAACAGCUCCAUUCUCAGAAUGUUUGUUAUCAUCAUUGUCCUUGGCUAGGGUAGACUCUUUGAGCAACUCAGAGUUGACUUCAGAUUUUUGAGUAUUGGUUUCCCCAUUCACCUCUAUCUUCUCAUCAGUAGGCUUCCCUUCCCAUACCUGCAAUGGAAAGUAAAAAAAUAUUUAAACACCGAAGAUAAUUUAUCACAGAAAAAAAAAAUGAGCUAACUGGAAUGGUAGAAAGUCUUGCCUGCUUUGGGAAUUGCUGCUUGGCUUUCUUCUCCAAAAUAGUCUUCUGACGGCCCUCAUAGAACCCAAAAUCAUCCAGAAUGCAUGUCUUGCUCGAGUAUUCCUUAAAAAUUUUGAGCAGCUUCAGACCUGGCUCCAACAUUAUCUGCAUUCAUGAACUUGGAAGAUCAGAUGAGAGCACAAUAUUGUAACCACUAUACAACUACAUGAGCAGAACUUAAAUUACCUCCUGUGUAUCCCGACUGUUGGUGACAGGUUUGUUCUCAUUGUUUUCCAAUGUAAUGUGCCUCAACACGUUGUUAGGAACAUCCUUAACAAUGUGCCACUUCAAAGGAAAACAGCCCAUCCACUUGUCUUGCUGCCAAUACUCCAGACUUUUGUUGAAAUCAACAGGACCGGUCAUCUCUGCUAGCCCAACAAAUUGUCCACUGGUAUUAACCUGCAAAUGAGUUUAAUGUGAGACAAAAUAUACCAAAUAAAACAAAGGAAACCAUAAUUUGCACCAGCUAUAAGACACUUACAGAGAACAAAAGGAAUAUAGGGCAGCCACCAGAUUUUUGCUGGGCCUCUUGGUAGGCAGCAUCAAGCUUCUUGUUGCCAUUUUGAGUGCUGGCCCACACAUUAUACUUGAUGCUUUUAUGAAUGUCAUCCUCGCUGUAAGACUUGAUGACAAAAAAUUUAGCAUCGGUGUAUUCUUCUGGAAAAUCAGCCUUGUUAUAUUGUUCACGGUCUGGAGUAGUACUAUUCUUCUCUUUCUCUUCAUCAACAGUGUUCACUGGCACAUUCUGCCCUUUGACGGUCAGAACAGUUGGAACAAAAACUUUUUGGUUCUUACCACCCUUGGCCCUAGGUCCCCUGUUCAGUUCAUUCAAACCAUCCGUGUUCUCAUUGCCAUACCCAAAGUAACCACCAUUUCUUCCCCUUGUUUUGUAUUUGUUGUCCACAGCAAGCCAAGCUCGCCCAUUUGUACGAGAAUCAUAACCAUGUGUUCCAUAACCCAUACCUGAUCUAACAGAGUUCCCAUACUGACCAUAUCUUGUGUUCGGAUACAUCCUGUUAAUGAAGCCGGGGGUGGCUCCCAUGGCAGGAAUUGGCCUAGGAUGGUGCAAGCCCUAACACAAAGAGAAAAGAUACCAAAUUUCAAUUAACAUAUAUAAACUCAAGCAAAUACAGAACAACGUGAGAAUUGUGCAAAUUAGUUAUAGCAAACUUAUAACCAAAAAACAGACUUAUUGAUUUACUGGCUAACAUCUACUAUACAAAAGUGACAUCAAAGUACUGUGCAUACCAUAUAUUGAGAAUUGGGGCGGUAAGUCUGGUUCCUUGAAGCAGUACCGUUGUUGCCACUUGAUAUUGAGGAUGAGAUUACUGUGCUACUUACAGGCCUUGGCUGCCCAUCUGAAAAUAUUGGGGUAUCUAGCCAUAGGUUAGGUGAGCGUGCUCCAUCAAAACCAUAUCUGGGAUCUUGAUAACCACCAGAUGUAGGAGUGCGACCUGGCAAAUCAAAUCACCUCUUAUAAAUCAUUCAACAGAAAAUCGAAUAUGAAUUUCGAUAGGGCUGUUCAACAGGUGCAUCAAAAUUCUUACCUUUAGCAUUCACACCAUUUGUGCCAGCAUUGGUAUUUCCAUUAGCUGCUUCCACAGAAAGAGGCUUUUGAUCAGCAGCUACAGAUGUGGAAUUAUCACCCUGAGGAUGGGCAGCAGAAGUUGGCGUGAAUGGCCCACUGGUUGGUGUCAACGGCUGAAAAAAGGGAGGAUACUGAUAGUGUUGAGGGCCAUACAACUGACCAUCAUUUCCCAUGGUUGGAACUGGAGAACCAGCUGGAGAGUAGGGAGCAUAGGGUGCAUAUCCAUAUCCAUGGUGAUACACCAGAGACGACCCAUUAUCCCCAUAGACUCCCUGAAAACACCAAGUAAAUAACGUAAAUAAAUAAAACAUAGGCAACAGCGUAAAACCUGACUAAAUUUAAGGGGGAAAAACUAAUACUUACAGAAGUCAAAUCAACUCCAUCAGCAUUCAAAUAUUCCCACUCACUGCCAGUCCCAUCAUAACCUACAACAGACACACAUAUCAGAUCACAUGAAAUUGCAAUAUCCAUUAUACAUAAUGUUCAUAGGAUCAAUACAUAAACUUACCACCAUAAUAAUACGAAGGGUAUCCAUUUGGAAGAUAGCACAUGGCGGGAUCCAUAAAGUCCUGCAACACAGGGGUUACGGAGCGUUCAUACGACGGGAUCUGGCCAUUCAGAGCAUUUCCCGAAUCAUACUGGUUUCCUGUAGCCUACACAAAGUUGAAAAAUUGAUUCAGCACAUCAACAAAGAGCAUUCAAUCAUCUUCCAUAACUCUAAUCAAAUAAAACCACAUAUAUGCAAUUUUAUCACGAACUAUGAAUUAACUCAACACAUCAACACAAGUGCAUUCAAUUAUGAAAAAUUCAAAAAAUUUACCUUCUUGUUUGGCUCGGGAAUUUCCAAGGACUUCGGCUGAGAUUCUAAUGAGAACUUCUGCAACAAUUCAGCUGCUUCUGUAGAAACAAUAAAGUGAAGGAAAACAACAAAACGCAAAAUUGAAGUUCACAUGAAACACAAAACAAUAAAAUUCAACAAAAAAACCAAAUCCCAAAACCUAGAUUCAGCUCAAUAAAAUUAAUUUCAAUAAAAAAUUUCAAGCAAAAAAAAUUCAACACAAACAACACAAAAAAACGAAAUCAGUUGGAUCUAAUCAACGGUUGAUGAAAAUAGAUAAAAAAAAAUAAUAACAAGUUCAAAAUAAUUGAAGAAAAAACGAAGAAGGAUACGAUCCGCGGGAUUUGCAACGGCAGCCAUAUCGGAAUCAAAGAUGAGAUCUCGUUCUUUCUUCGAAUGAAUUCAAGAAACAGAAACCCCCAAAAAUGAAUCUGAAUCUGAAUCAAGGAUAGAGAGGGUUUAAGCCCCAAAUCAAAGAGAUGAGAAACCCUAAAAGAGUGAUAGAGAGAGAAAAUAGAGAGAACGAGUCUCGC
rnacentral:lncRNA from 1 species